rnacentral:rRNA from 1 species
UACGGGGGGGGGGCAAGCGUUGUUCGGAAUUACUGGGCGUAAAGGGCUCGUAGGUGGCCAACUAAGUCAGACGUGAAAUCCCUCGGCUUAACCGGGGAACUGCGUCUGAUACUGGAUGGCUUGAGUUUGGGAGAGGGAUGCGGAAUUCCAGGUGUAGCGGUGAAAUGCGUAGAUAUCUGGAGGAACACCGGUGGCGAAGGCGGCAUCCUGGACCAACACUGACACUGAGGAGCGAAAGCCAGGGGAGCAAACGGG